rnacentral:rRNA from 1 species
UGCCAGCAGCCUCGGUAAUACUGAGGGUGCGAGCGUUGUUCGGAAUUACUGGGCGUAAAGCGCGCGUAGGCGGUUUGUUAAGUCAGAUGUGAAAGCCCAUGGCUCAACCAUGGACGUGCAUUUGAUACUGGCAGGCUUGAGUACUGGAGGGGGUAGUGGAAUUCCCGGUGUAGAGGUGAAAUUCGUAGAUAUCGGGAGGAAUACCGGUGGCGAAGGCGACUACCUGGCCGAUAUUGACGCUGAGGCGCGAAGGCGUGGUAGCGAACGGGAUUAGAUA